rnacentral:lncRNA from 1 species
AUUUUCGGGGUGGUGGGCAACCUGGUGGCCAUCGUGGUGCUGUGCAAGUCGCGCAAGGAGCAGAAGGAGACCACCUUCUACACAGUUAUGCGGCUGGUUGCCACCGACCUGUUGUUCACUUUGCUGGUGAGCCAGGUGACCAUCGCCAUGUACAUGAAGGGCGGGUAACCUGGGGGCCAGCUGCUGUGUGAGUACAGCAUCUUCAGCUUGUUCUUCUUCAGUCAGUCCGGCCUCAGCAUCGUCUGUGCCAUG